rnacentral:lncRNA from 1 species
AUGUGCUUUUCCAAAGACACGACAGACGCCGUGUUACAGACAGAUAGCGGUUCCCAUUCACAUGUUUUUAAUGACUUUAUAGAUUCUCCUGGGGGAGCUGCAUCUGAACUGAGCAUCGUGGAGACAGGCACGGCACAGCCCCCCUCGCCCUCCUCGGUGCAGGGCACACACCGGGGGAAAGACGGGCCGCUGCACCACCGGGAGCCCGUCCCCGCACCUCUCCUCCCUCAAACAUACGUGGCUCAAUCUCAUGCCACAGCCGAAGCGAAAGCUUCAGGAGUCAAACGGGGUAUGGGACUGCUCCCGCGGCAUUUCUCCGCGAGGCUCAGCAGAGAUGCUCGAGUGGAACAGCGAUGGCACAGCCGCAUCUGCUCGCCUCCAAGUCCCUCACCCGCCGGACUCAGACAGGUAUUGCGGGGACGAUCACCGGCACAGCUCCGCGAUCUCCGCCAGCGACAGACCUGCCUGCAGCACCCGAUGGCUCUGCACGGCUGCGGGCUCAUGGAGACGGAGUUCCUCUUCCAAGCACCGCUGGAACUCAGCCGCACGGGGCCAGGGCUGAGCGCACCGGGCAGCCCCGGGGGUGUGAGAGGACGGCCGUCCCUCCCGCCCCUCUCCCGGGCGCACGGAGGGCACAGCGCGGUGCCACCGUCCUCCGGGACGCGGCCAACGCGGCGCCGUGCGGGGCAGCUGACGGCGGCAGCCCGCGGCUCUCCUCCGGCACACGGCACCGGCCCGGCCCCUCGAAGCAGCCGCCGCACGCCCCUCCCGCAGCGACCCGCCCGCCUCGCGGCACCGCCCGGCCCGGCCCGGCCCGCGCCGCCCCGACCCGCCCGGCCCCGAGCCCCUACCUGCGGGCCGGGAGCGGGGCCGGGAGCGGCGCUCAGAGGCGCCGCGCUGCCAUGCCGCCACCGCCUCCCGCCCCGCCCCGCCGUGUCACUUCCUGAGCUCCGCCCCGCCCCGCUACCUCGCGGCCGCUCCGCCGGCUGCUGUACGGCGCUCUGCGUCCCCGGCGGCGCGGCCAGCAGGGACAGGGGGUGA